rnacentral:tRNA from 3 species
AUUUCAGUAGCUUAACACUAAACCAUUGACCUUGUAAACCAAAAAUGGACAUCACAAGCCCAUCU